GAUGAACGCUGGCGGCGUGCCUAAUACAUGCAAGUCGAGCGAACGGACGAGAAGCUUGCUUCUCUGAUGUUAGCGGCGGGCGGGUGAGUAACACGUGGAUAACCUACCUAUAAGACUGGGAUAACUUCGGGAAACCGGAGCCAAUACCGGAUAAUAUUUUGAACCGCAUGGUUCAAAAGUGAAAGACAGUCUUGCUGUCACUUAUAGAUGGAUCCGCGCUGCAUUAGCUAGUUGGUAAGGUAACGGCUUACCAAGGCAACGAUGCAUAGCCGACCUGAGAGGGUGAUCGGCCACACUGGAACUGAGACACGGUCCAGACUCCUACGGGAGGCAGCAGUAGGGAAUCUUCCGCAAUGGGCGAAAGCCUGACGGAGCAACGCCGCGUGAGUGAUGAAGGUCUUCGGAUCGUAAAACUCUGUUAUUAGGGAAGAACAUAUGUGUAAGUAACUGUGCACAUCUUGACGGUACCUAAUCAGAAAGCCACGGCUAACUACGUG
rnacentral:rRNA from 1 species